GAUGAACGCUAGCGAUAGGCCUAACACAUGCAAGUCGAGGGGUAGCAGUGAGUAGCAAUACUUGGCUGACGACCGGCGCACGGGUGAGUAACGCGUAUGUAACCUACCUACAACAGGGGGAUAACUCGGAGAAAUUCGGACUAAUACCGCAUAAAACAGGGGCACCGCAUGGUGAUAUUUGUUAAAGAUUUAUUGGUUGUAGAUGGGCAUGCGUUCCAUUAGUUAGUUGGUAAGGUAACGGCUUACCAAGACAUCGAUGGAUAGGGGAACUGAGAGGUUUGUCCCCCACACUGGAACUGAGACACGGACCAGACUCCUACGGGAGGCAGCAGUGAGGAAUAUUGGUCAAUGGGCGAGAGCCUGAACCAGCCAAAUCGCGUGAAGGAAGACUGCCUUAUGGGUUGUAAACUUCUUUUAUCAGGGAGUAAAGUUCUAUACGUGUAUAGAUUUGCAAGUACCUGAUGAAUAAGCAUCGGCUAACUCCGUGCCAGCCGCCGCAGUAA
rnacentral:rRNA from 1 species